UACGGGGGGGGGCAAGCGUUGUUCGGAAUUACUGGGCGUAAAGAGCUCGUAGGCGGCUCAGUAAGUCAGGUGUGAAAACUCCAGGCUCAACCUGGAGACGCCACCUGAUACUGCUGUGGCUAGAGUCCGGUAGGGGAGCAUGGAAUUCCUGGUGUAGCAGUGAAAUGCGUAGAGAUGUGGAGGAAUACCGAUGGCGCAAGGCAGCCCCCUGGGAUCAAGCACUGACGCUCAUGCACGAAAGGCGUGGGGAGCGAACAGG
rnacentral:rRNA from 1 species